CAAGUCGUGCGCGAAAGUGUAGCAAUACAUGAGUAAAGCGGCGAACUGGUGAGUAACAGGUGGGUAACGUGCCCUGAAGUGGGGGAUAACACCGGGAAACCGGUGCUAAUACCGCAUGUGGUGUCAAAAACCUUGGUUUUUGCCAUUAAAGCAGUAAUGCGCUUCAGGAUCGGCCCGUCCCCGAUUAGCUAGUUGGUGAGGUAAUGGCUCACCAAGGCAACGAUCGGUAGCUGGUCUGAGAGGAUGGUCAGCCACACUGGAACUGAGAUACGGUCCAGACUCCUACGGGGGGCAGCAGUCUAGAGGCUUCGUCAAUGGGGGCAACCCUGAACGAGCGACGCCGCGUGCGGGAUUGAAGGCCUUCGGGUCGUAAACCGCUGUCGAGUGGGAAGAAUGCCCUGAUGGCGAAUCAGGGAGGGACGGUACCACUAUAGGAAGCCCCGGCUAACUCCGUGCCAGCAGCCGCGGUAAUACGGAGGGGGCAAGCGUUGUUCGGAUUUACUGGGCGUAAAGGGUGUGUAGGCGGCUGGAUAAGUCUGGCGUGAAAUCUUCACCGCUUAACGGGAAGGGGUCGCUGGAAACUGUUCAGCUUGAGUAUGGUAGAGGCAAGCGGAAUUCCUGGUGUAGCGGUGGAAUGUGUAGAUAUCAGGAAGAACACCGGUGGCGAAGGCGGCUUGCUGGGCCAUCACUGACGCUGAGACACGAAAGCGUGGGGAGCAAACGGGAUUAGAUACCCCGGUAGUCCACGCUGUAAGCGGUGCGCACUAGGUGUGGGGGGUAUCGACUCCUCCCGUGCCGACGUUAACACAUU
rnacentral:rRNA from 1 species